rnacentral:rRNA from 1 species
AACGAACGCUGGCGGCAGGCUUAACACAUGCAAGUCGCAGGAGAAGGGGGCUUCGGCCCCUGGACACUGGCGGACGGGUGAGUAACGCGUGGGAACCUACCUUGAGGUGGGGGACAACCGCUGGAAACGGCGGCUAAUACCGCAUACGCCCUAUUGGGGAAAGCUUCGGCGCCCUGAGAUGGUCCCGCGUCGGAUUAGCUUGUUGGUGGGGUAACGGCCUACCAAGGCGACGAUCCGUAGCUGGUCUGAGAGGAUGACCAGCCACACUGGAACUGAGACACGGCCCAGACUCCUACGGGAGGCAGCAGUGGGGAAUAUUGGACAAUGGGCGAAAGCCUGAUCCAGCAAUGCCGCGUGUGUGAAGAAGGCCCUCGGGUUGUAAAGCACUUUCAGUGGGGAAGAAAAGCGUAAGGUUAAUACCCUUGCGUGUUGACGGUACCCACAGAAGAAGCACCGGCUAAUUCCGUG